rnacentral:tRNA from 1 species
ACCCGGUUAGCUCAAUGGUAGAGCGUCUCUCUUACAAAGAGCGGGUUGAAGGUUCAAGUCCUUCAUCGGGUACCA